CGGCAAUGCAGGAGGAUCUCAAAGAAGAGCCAAAGGGAAGGAGGUGCAUGGAAGAGAACCCAGAAUUUUGGGGGAAUGUGGCAAUGUACCCAGCCAAACCUGUAGCUAACGAUAUGAGGAUGGAGAUGGAGCAGCCUUCUUGUGAUCAUGAGGAUGAGAGCUCCGUGCAAGUAUGGCUGAGGGAAAAUACAAGCUACCUGAGACACCAAGGGAACCAACAAACCAACCCUGGACUCCUUAUCACUGGACUUUGGUUCAAAAGAAAAUGAAGAUAAGCAUCAUUGACUAUACCUGAGGAAGAGCCUCUGGUCAACAACUUAAUAAUCUCAGGGAGGUAGGUCUCUCUUCUAGCUCCAUUCUCACCCUCUGUGGCUGAAGCACCCUUCCCUGCUGACUAAGUUCACCAUGAAAUGGUUUAAUAAAAUGUGACUCCUCUGUAAAAUGCUGUGCAGAAGAGAUCUGCUUCCAGUGUUCCCAGCUCUGUGGCCUCAGGCACUUGAACCAAAGAAGCUUGAAAUGUUUGGUAUAAUUUAAAGAGGAAAAAAAAGGUUUUUAAAAUAUAUCUAAGUUAGUGUUAGGCACUGAAUUAUAGCCUUCUAAAAUUCAUGUAUUGAAGCCUGAAUCUCCUAUGUCACUGUAUUUGGAGAUGGGGCAUUUGGAGAGGUAGUUAAGGUUAAUAAGGUUGUAGGGGUGAGGUCCUGAGGCGAGUGGACUAGGGUCCUUACAAGCAUGAGGAGACAUGGGUGAGCUCUCCUCAAGUGCACAUAGAGGAGGCAGCGGCCAUUUACAUUCAGGAAGAGAGCCCUCAUCAGAAACCAAGUUUUCCAGCACCUUGAUGGAUGACUUCCAGUCUCCAGAACUGUGAGAAAACAAAGGUCUUUGGUAUUUUGUUGCAGCAGUCUAAGCAGACUAACAAAAUGAGGAGUACUCAGAGUCUACAGCACAGUGGAUGGAGGGACCCAGAAUGUGACCAGCGCAUGAAACUGGCUUUGGUCUUGAGUGCGUUAUAAAACUCUGAGGAAGCAGAGCUUUAGAAAAGAGGGGACAACUACAAAUCUGCCUGCCUGCCUUCUCACUGGCCACACCACCCUCUGGUAGACCUGGAGGUUGCCUUUAUCUCAGACCUUGACAGUGAGAAGACAAAACACUUCCACUGAAAAUCCAAGACUGGAAGUAACCUUUGCAUGGUU